rnacentral:rRNA from 1 species
CUGGCGGCGUGCUUAACACAUGCAAGUCGAACGAGGCAGCGGCCUUCGGGCCGUUGUCGAGUGGCGAACGGGUGAGUAACACGUGAGGAACCUGCCCCGGAGACCGGGACAACCAGGGGAAACCCUGGCUAAUACCGGAUGCCCUCGGAUGGUCGCAUGGCCAACCGAGGAAACGCUCCGGUGCUCCGGGAGGGCCUCGCGGCCUAUCAGCUUGUUGGUGGGGUAACGGCCCACCAAGGCAUCGACGGGUAGCUGGUCUGAGAGGACGAUCAGCCACACUGGGACUGAGACACGGCCCAGACUCCUACGGGAGGCAGCAGUGGGGAAUAUUGCGCAAUGGGCGAAAGCCUGACGCAGCAACGCCGCGUGGGGGAUGAAGGCCUUCGGGUUGUAAACCCCUUUCAGCAGGGACGAAAAUGACGGUACCUGCAGAAGAAGCCCCGGCCAACUACGUGCCAGCAGCCGCGGUAACACGUAGGGGGCGAGCGUUGUCCGGAUUUAUUGGGCGUAAAGAGCUCGUAGGCGGUUGCGUAAGUCGGAUGUGAAAACUCAGGGCUCAACCCGGAGACGCCAUCCGAUACUGCGCUGACUAGAGU